GUGAGUUUCCUGCAACCCCUCAGCAUUGAAGGCCACAGGAAAACCUCUCUUUUCACUGAAGUUCUCCAAAACACAAGCUGCUGGAGUAAAGACACCCAUGCCACAUAGGAGGUCAAGAAGGUCGAGUGCAUCAGAGCCCAUGGAACAACAGACUGCAGACAGUGGCAGCUCUCAGCCUGCUGCUUGGCGACGACAGGCUGUCCUUAGAGAAAGGCCCCCAAAGCAAGAACUGAGGAAGCAGCUGUGAAAAUGAGCCCCAUCUGAAAUGUGUCUCACCAGCUCCCUCCUCUCCACUUCGAACCACCGAGAGAUGCCAGGCAAGCUGUGGGUCAGGGUCAGCGUGGUGCGCUCGAUCCACAGGCUCUGCAGGGAAGGCACAGAGCACAGGCUCUGGAUGCGCAGGCUCAGCGGCCAUGGCUCAUGGGCCCAGCCGCUCCGUGGCAUGUGGGAUCUUCCCGGACUGAGGUGCAAACCCAUGUCCCCUGCAUCGGCAGGCAGACC